AUCCAGCUGAUGAGUCCCAAAUAGAACUAAACGUACAUCCUAGAC
rnacentral:hammerhead_ribozyme from 1 species